GACGAACGCUGGCGGCGUGCUUAACACAUGCAAGUCGAACGAAGUGGCGAACGGGUGAGUAAUACGUGGGUAACCUGCCCUCCUUUUGGGGAUAAACCUUGGAAACGGGGUCUAAUACCGAAUAAAGGGGGAUGGGCUCGCGGCCUAUCAGCUUGUUGGUGGGGUGAUGGGCUACCAAGGCGGUGACGGGUAGCCGGCCUGAGAGGGUGAACGGCCACAGUGAGACUGAGAUACGGCCCAGACUACUACGGGGGGCAGCAGUGGGGGAUAUUGGACAAUGGGCGAAAGACUGAUGCAGCGACGCCGCGUGGGGGCUGAAGGCUUUCGGGUUGUAAACCUCUUUCGCAAGCGAACGGGUAGGUGGAGAAGAAGCGCCGGCUAACUACGUGCCAGCAGCCGCGGUAAUUC
rnacentral:rRNA from 1 species